rnacentral:misc_RNA from 1 species
AAGUCGUAACAAGGUCUCCGUAGGUGAACCUGCGGAGGGAUCAUUAACACGUAUCCAAACGUACCAAACCCAAACCGGUCUCUAUAUUUCCCAUUUUAGGAAGGCGGUCAGCAAGCCACAGGUGAAUUCUCUUUGUUUACAAAGAGACUACUUGCGAUCUACAGCUCUUGAGGCUAAGUCUUUCAAUUAUGGCGUAAACCCAAGUCACCUGGCUAUUAGGCCAACCCUGCAGUUGUGCCUUGGUGGCCGAUUAAUUUCGACCACUAAGGUACGAUUGACCAGGAACCUUUUAGCCUUAUUGAACCCUAUUUUUAACCCCUUUAAUAUAAAUUAUUACUGACUUUACUUCUCUAUGGACUUCGGUCUAUAUUGAUGUAUACGAAAUUGUGAACAACUCUUAGCAACGGAUAUCUUGGUUCUC